UACAGAGGUGGCAAGCGUUGUUCGGAAUUACUGGGCGUAAAGAGCUCGUAGGUGGUUUGUCGCGUUGUUCGUGAAAACUCACAGCUCAACUGUGGGCGUGCGGGCGAUACGGGCAGACUGGAGUACUGCAGGGGAGACUGGAAUUCCUGGUGUAGCGGUGGAAUGCGCAGAUAUCAGGAGGAACACCGGUGGCGAAGGCGGGUCUCUGGGCAGUAACUGACGCUGAGGAGCGAAAGCGUGGGGAGCGAACAGG
rnacentral:rRNA from 1 species